rnacentral:rRNA from 1 species
GAGUUUGAUCGUGGCUCAGGAUGAACGCUGGCGGCGUGCCUAACACAUGCAAGUCGAACGGAUCCAUAUUGAAACCUAGUGAUGUAUGGAUUAGUGGCGGACGGGUGAGUAACGCGUGGAUAACCUGCCGUAUACAGGGGGAUAACACUUAGAAAUAGGUGCUAAUACCGCAUAAGCGCACGGUUCCGCAUGGAACAGUGUGAAAAACUCCGGUGGUAUACGAUGGAUCCGCGUCUGAUUAGCCAGUUGGCGGGGUAACGGCCCACCAAAGCGACGAUCAGUAGCCGGCCUGAGAGGGUGAACGGCCACAUUGGGACUGAGACACGGCCCAAACUCCUACGGGAGGCAGCAGUGGGGAAUAUUGCACAAUGGGGGGAAACCCUGAUGCAGCGACGCCGCGUGAGUGAAGAAGUAUUUCGGUACGUAAAGCUCUAUCAGCAGGGAAGAAAAAAGUCCUUUGGACUUUGGACGGUACCUGACCAAGAAGCCCCGGCUAACUACGUGCCAGCAGCCGCCGUAAG